CUGACAUGAAAAUGUUUCUGACUCCACCCACUGAUGCUGAACUCAACCAAUGAGAUGAUUUCUGUCUGCAGAAGUCAAAGCACAGCCAGCCUGAUGUUGAGGAGAAGGACUGCAGCAGAGAGGCUGCUUAGUUUCUUCAUUCUGCUGUCUGACUAACCCAACAACUAAAGACAUGCUGCUUUACCUCAUUUUACUUUUCUCUCAUAUCAGAGAGUGUAAAGGAGAAGACAAAGUGAUCCAGGAACAAGGAGAUGUCAUUGCUGCUGAAGGAGACACAGUUACACUUGGAUGUAGAUAUGAAACAACUGCUUCAUAUUCAUAUUUGUUCUGGUACAAACAAGAACUAAAUGACUUUCCAAAGUAUGUUUUACAGCGUGGAACUACUGGAACAGCAGAUAACGCUCAGGAGUUCCCAAAGGACAGAUUUGAUGCUGAGCUCAACAAGAAAUCAGUUCCUCUGAAGAUCCAGAAGCUUCAGCUGUCUGACUCUGCUGUGUACUACUGUGCUCUGCAGCCCACAGUGACAGGAAACACCAAAACUCUGUACAAAAACCUUUGGAGCAAAGACAACAGAAUACUCCACAACAUCCACUAGAGGGAGCCACACACUCUGUAUGAGUUCAGUGGCAUGUGACCUCGCCUGUCUCACUUGUAUUGGCAGCUCUCGAUAGUGGCACUUGUUAAUUUGGGUUGAUGUUAGAGGCUCAGCUGGUUCUAGACAGGCAUAUAUGAGG